rnacentral:rRNA from 1 species
GACGAACGCUGGCGGCGUGCUUAACACAUGCAAGUCGAACGGAAAGGCCCUGCUUUUGUGGGGUGCUCGAGUGGCGAACGGGUGAGUAACACGUGAGUAACCUGCCCUUGACUUUGGGAUAACUUCAGGAAACUGGGGCUAAUACCGGAUAGGAGCUCCUGCUGCAUGGUGGGGGUUGGAAAGUUUCGGCGGUUGGGGAUGGACUCGCGGCUUAUCAGCUUGUUGGUGGGGUAGUGGCUUACCAAGGCUUUGACGGGUAGCCGGCCUGAGAGGGUGACCGGCCACGUUGGGCCUGAGAUACGGCCCAGACUCCUACGGGAGGCAGCAGUGGGGAAUAUUGCACAAUGGGCGGAAGCCUGAUGCAGCAACGCCGCGUGCGGGAUGACGGCCUUCGGGUUGUAAACCGCUUUCGCCUGUGACGAAGCGUGAGUGACGGUAAUGGGUAAAGAAGCACCGGCUAACUACGUG